rnacentral:rRNA from 1 species
AUGCCCGAGCUGCAGAUGUUGAGUGGGGAACUUGUUUCACCUUUGUCGAUGGAGCAACUCAAGUUGGACUCUCCCCAGGAUUCGAAGGUGGACUUGGUGUCCUCACCACCCCCCAUGGAGCCUUGUCAGGCGUCAAACAGCCUACCUCUCGACGUCAUGGAGAGCGGAGUUUUAGAUGCUGUCGUCGUUCCCUUGUCUGUGACCAUCGGGCAGGUGAUGCCUGUGAGUGGCAUGACCACGGAGCCACUUGUGUUGGCACCUACCCCAAAUUCAAAUGCUCUCUUCGCGAAGGAACUUUGUGACUUGCUAGCCAGUGUUGAAGUUGCUAGACCUAGUUUAGGUAGGUCGAUUGCUUGCCUCCUAACAGGGACGCCAAUAAGGGACAAACAAAAGAAGGUGGGCAAUCGCAAGAGUGGCGCCAAAGGCAAGACGUCUUUGGCUGCUUGA